AAACAGACAUCAAGAGAAUUAAAUCCAAAAGAUAACUGAAUAAUAAUUCCCAAAUAUACUUCAUAUUCAGACCACUAUUUCCCUCUUUUUUUAAUUUCCUAUCCCUCUCUCGUUCUCAUCCUUUUAAUUUUCCUCCUAGGUUUCUAACAUAUUUCCUCUGUUCUCUCAUCAUAGCUAUCCACAUGAUAAUUCCAUCAUUUCGUCCAAUCUUCUAUUUAUCCUCAGAUCUCACUCUCCAUUUUUUUUUGUUUUUACUCCUAGUUCUAUUCUGAUUUCAAGAAAAUGUCCCUAUUCUAAGAUCAACUAAUUUCUU
rnacentral:lncRNA from 1 species